UGAGAUGACUCAGCAGUUAGGAGUACAUACUGCUCUUACAGACACAGGUUUGGUUCCCAGAUUGCACAUGGCAGUUUAUAACUGCCCAUAAUUCUAGUUCCAGGUGGUCCAGUGACUUCUUCUGACUUCCAUGGCCUCUUGUACACAUGUAGUACACAUGCAUACACUUACACAGAGACAUAUGCCAAUUUUGAAAAAUUCUUUCAAAUUAAAAGUACAUUACAGUAAUAAAGAAAAAUAGAGGGAGUAAGGAAUAGAGUAUGGGACUGUCAUUCUUAAAACCACUAUGCUGUGUAAGGUUUGAUCAUUUUGUAUGUUACUUUGUUAAUAUUAUCUCUAUCUAGUUUUUUUCUUAUAAUUGAUAACUAUAGAUAUUAUAGUCUUUUCAUUUAGGAUGAAUAAAUAUUUUAUGCAUUGAUUAUAAUUUUUAAUGCUUAUGUUCAUGUAUCAAUAUUUGAAAACAAAUUACAAUACUGAUGGCUAUUUAGAGUUCUGGUUUCAUUUUGUUGUUGCCAGGCUUGCUAAUGCUGCAGGGCAAGUCUGUAUGCUCCAUAGAGUGAGUCUUCAGGACUACAAUAACCAGCUAGAGGCCUGACAGCAUUUUCUGAUUAUUUAAAUAUGAUUUAAAUAGGAGACAGUUACAAAGUGUGCGACUAUAUAUGAGUAGUACCUUCUUCCUUGUUUGUGUUCUGAAACAGUGUCUAGCCAUGUUAUUCAAGUGACCCUUAACUCUUGUCUCAGUUUCUCCCUAAUAGCUGUGACUGCAAGUACACACCGUCACACUCUGCUAACACUUUUCUCCUUUAAUUUUAGGUUUUUGGUGUUCAGAUAGGGCCUACUGUGUAGCUCAGAUCUUUCUGGAACACUGUGUAGACAAGGCUGGCCUGGAACUUGCUCACACUGAAAUCACAGGUGUUGCCACCACACCUAGUUUAGUGCCUAGGCUUUAUUUAUUUACUUACUUAUAGCUCAUCUAGUUCUUACCACACCCUGUGUUGUGGCAAAUGUUUAUGCAUAAAUAAUCUCCUCUCUAUUAUAUGUCAGGACUAUACAUAUUUGCAUGCUUUUCUUUGGCUAACAGAGUGCUUUCUUAGAUAAAUAUAUUUAUAGCUCUGAAUAUAUUUAUAGCUCUGGCAUUGCUUAAGGAGUGGGAUGUGAGUUCAUUGUUUAGUGUGAAGUGUCAUACAUAAAAGGUUAAUACAAAUGUCAUCAGCAGGAAGUUACAGCCAGUGUUCUGACAAUAGGAGUGUUAUUUGUCUUGUAGGUGGGGGACCUUAGACUAGCACUGCAACGGGCAGAGCAAACUGCUGCGAGGAAAGAGGAUUAUUUACGCCAUGAGAUCAGUGAACUUCAGCAGAGACUCCAAGAAGCAGAGAAUCGAAACCAAGAACUGAGUCAAAGUGUUUCAUCAACAACAAGACCAUUGCUCCGACAGAUAGAAAAUUUACAGGCAACUCUAGGCUCUCAGACUUCAUCGUGGGAGAUGCUAGAGAAGAAUCUUUCUGACAGGCUUGGUAAUCUCUUUAGUAUUUUAUGUUUGAUGCAGGAGAGUUUUUGUCUUGUGUAUAGAAGUAGGAUAGUGGUAUGACAUUGAAAUUCAUCUGAUCUCACAGUGACAUUUGGUGUCUAACAUGUAUAGAUUUGUUUCCCCCUUUUUCAUGUUUAUAUUAAUACCUCAAUAAUGACUCUUCUAAAUUAGUUUUCCUUA